UCCCUAUCUGCCGUGGGCGUUGGAUGAUUAAUUGGGGCUGCUCCUAGUACGAGAGGACCGGAGUGGACGCAUCACUGGUGUUCCAGUUGUCUCGCCAGAGGCAUUGCUGGGUAGCUAAGUGCGGAAGAGAUAAGUGCUGAAAGCAUCUAAGCACGAAACUUGCCAAGAGAUGAGUCAUCCCUGACUUUAAGUCAGUAAGGGUUGUUGUAGACUACGACGUAGAUAGGUCUGGUGUGUAAGUGUAGUGAUGCAUUGAGCUAACAGAUACUAAUUGCCCGAGAGGCUUAACUAUACAACGCUCAAG
rnacentral:rRNA from 1 species